rnacentral:rRNA from 1 species
AGAACGAACGCUGGCGGCAUGCCUAACACAUGCAAGUCGAACGAGACCUUCGGGUCUAGUGGCGCACGGGUGCGUAACGCGUGGGAACCUGCCUUUAGGUUCGGAAUAACUCAGAGAAAUUUGAGCUAAUACCGGAUAAUGUCUUCGGACCAAAGAUUUAUCGCCUUUAGAUGGGCCCGCGUAGGAUUAGCUUGUUGGUGGGGUAAUGGCCUACCAAGGCGACGAUCCUUAGCUGGUCUGAGAGGAUGAUCAGCCACACUGGGACUGAGACACGGCCCAGACUCCUACGGGAGGCAGCAGUGGGGAAUAUUGGACAAUGGGCGAAAGGCCUGAUCCAGCAAUGCCGCGUGAGUGAUGAAGGCCUUAGGGUUGUAAAGCUCUUUUACCCGGGAUGAUAAUGACAGUACCGGAGAAUAAGCUCCGGCUAACUCCGCGCCAGCAGCCGC